AUUUAGUAGUUUUCUAUGUUUGGAGGCAUAAAGCUAAAACAAGUCUAACAUGUCAAAUUAGUAAGGUUAUCAAAUUGGGUACCAAAUAAAUAAGUUAGAAGUUUCAACUCACUAUAAUUCUUAAAUAAAUAGUUUUCCUGUUAAUCCAUAAUAAAAAUUUUAACUUAGACACAUAUUGAAAAUAUAGUGAAAUGCAUAACUCAUCUAGAAAUUUUAUCUGAAUAUGGAAGGACAGCCUCUGAUAUGCAAUUUUCCUCAUAAAAGUGACCAUAGAGAGCAUCGGUAGCUACAACACCAUGUGGCUGUUAAUCAGUUUUUGGUUGCAUUGGCAGUGUUCAA
rnacentral:misc_RNA from 1 species